UACAGAGGAAAUGGAAGUCAGAGUGCUCAAAGUCCAUCUCUUUUCAUGCUUGUUCCCGUAGAAAGCUGUGAUUUCUGCUAUGACAUCCAAAGUCAUGGCCAGUUAAGUCACAGUUGAAUUGUAGUGGUCUGAUAUAUGCAUCAACCACCCUCAAGCUGGUGAUCUUGCUACUCCUCGUGCGUGACCUGUCACAGUGAUGUUCAAAGGACACCUGUGCUAUUUAUAAUAAAUAUUAUCAGACUGAAUUCCACAAACAAAUGCCUUUGCCUUUUGCAGAAUCCUUUCCCUCACCUGUGAAAAAGAGUAAUGCAGCUAGAGAAGUGGCUUUAAUCUUGACCUGAACAGGAUGUGGCUGUUGCCAGCAGGAGGGCUCUGCAGAUUACUGGCAGCUUGUCUCUCAGAUGCUGGCAGACAAGUACUCAGUCUAGUACCAACAUGCUAGGCGGAUUGUCUAGCUCCUAUAGCCUGACACCCAACAGACGUAUCAAGAUGGAAUCUGGAAUUGCUUUAAAGCCCUGGCUUUUUCCUUUAUUUUUACAGUGCUGUCUGACUGCAGCCCUCAUUGCCCUGCAGUUGCCCCGAUGUGACCUAUGCAGCACACUGGUGCCCUUUUGUGCAUAACUUCUUUGUGCCAUGCAGCACCAUCGUGGCCACACCAGCAGACCAGACCAUCUGGCAAAGAGGCCUCUGUCAUUGCUGAGAAGGGGAACAUCAACCAGAACUGUGCUUUGCAGGACACACCUGCCUGCAGAUCUGCUGUUUUCUGUUUGGAGCCUUUAUUGUAGGAAAACCUGCACAUGAAGAAAGGAAAAAAGAAGUAAAUGGAAAACAAACCAGAGUCAUGUCCAUUAAAUUCUUCUGCGGAAAUGCUGGCCUGCCUUCUUCAAGUAUUUGGACCUGCUGCAGAAUAUGCAAGGCAGGUUCUCUGGUCAGCAGUAAUUCUGGGGUCUGGUUCUGCUCUCCCUCAAGAGCUGUCAGUCUUCAGGCAGCUUGUUGCUUUGUGCUCCUUCCACACAGGAGCAGACGAACUCAUGAAUGAAACAUUACUGAUACUGAAGAGAACUCCUGGCAUCCACCUCAGCAGAAGAAACUGA
rnacentral:lncRNA from 1 species